rnacentral:rRNA from 1 species
AGAGGUGGCAAGCGUUGUUCGGAAUCACUGGGCAUAAAGGGCGCGUAGGCGGUCGAUCAAGUCGGUUGUGAAAGCCCUCGGCUCAACCGAGGAACUGCAUCCGAUACUGAUUGGCUAGAGUAUGGAAGGGGAGAGUGGAACUCCUGGUGGAGCGGUGAAAUGCGUAGAUAUCAGGAGGAACGCCGGUGGCGAAAGCGACUCUCUGGUCCACAACUGACGCUGAGGCGCGAAAGCCAGGGGAGCAAACGGGAUUAGAUACCCCGGUAGUCCUGGCCCUAAACGAUGGGCACUAGGUAGUGGGGGGUUCCGAUCUUCUCACUGCCGGAGCGAAUGUGUUAAGUGCCCCCGCCUGGGAGUACAGUCGCAAGGCCG